rnacentral:snoRNA from 1 species
AGGCCAUGAUGGGGACACUUGCGUAAUAGCUCCUUGAACCUUUCCCAAGUUUCAUAUAAGGAUUCCCCGUCCUCUUGUGAAUAUGUAUUUAUUUCAGUCAUUAACUU